rnacentral:rRNA from 1 species
GCAAGUCGAGCGGUAGAGAGGUGCUUGCUCCUCUUGAGAGCGGCGGACGGGUGAGUAAUACCUAGGAAUCUGCCUGGUAGUGGGGGAUAACGUUCGGAAACGGACGCUAAUACCGCAUACGUCCUACGGGAGAAAGCAGGGGACCUUCGGGCCUUGCGCUAUCAGAUGAGCCUAGGUCGGAUUAGCUAGUUGGUGAGGUAAUGGCUCACCAAGGCUACGAUCCGUAACUGGUCUGAGAGGAUGAUCAGUCACACUGGAACUGAGACACGGUCCAGACUCCUACGGGAGGCAGCAGUGGGGAAUAUUGGACAAUGGGCGAAAGCCUGAUCCAGCCAUGCCGCGUGUGUGAAGAAGGUCUUCGGAUUGUAAAGCACUUUAAGUUGGGAGGAAGGGCAGUAAAUUAAUACUUUGCUGUUUUGACGUUACCGACAGAAUAAGCACCGGCUAACUCUGUGCCAGCAGCCGCGGUAAUACAGAGGGUGCAAGCGUUAAUCGGAAUUACUGGGCGUAAAGCGCGCGUAGGUGGU